CCUACGGGCGGCAGCAGUGGGGAAUAUUGCGCAAUGGGCGAAAGCCUGACGCAGCGACGCCGCGUGAGGGAUGAAGGUCUUCGGAUCGUAAACCUCUGUCAGCAGGGAAGAACGGUCACUGUGCUAAUCAGCAGUGAAUUGACGGUAACUGCAAAGGAAGCACCGGCUAACUCCGUGCCAGCAGCCGCGGUAAUACGGAGGGUGCGAGCGUUAAUCGGAAUUACUGGGCGUAAAGCGCUCGUAGGCGGUAUGUUAAGUCAAGGGUGAAAUCCCCGGGCUCAACGUGGGAACGGCCGUUGAAACUGGCAAACUUGAGUGUGUGAGAGGAUAGGGGAAUUCCAGGUGUAGGAGUGAAAUCCGUAGAUAUCUGGAGGAACAUCAGUGGCGAAGGCGACUAUCUGGCACAUAACUGACGCUGAGGAGCGAAAGCGUGGGUAGCAAACAGGAUUAGAUACCCCGGUAGUC
rnacentral:rRNA from 1 species